rnacentral:rRNA from 1 species
GUGUUCAGACAGCCAGGAGGUUGGCUUAGAAGCAGCCAUUCCUUUAAAGAGUGCGUAACAGCUCACUGGUCGAAUGUUUUCGCGCGGAAGAUGUAACGGGGCUAAAUAUACAGCCGAAGCUUUGUCAUCAUAUUAUUAAUCCAGAUUUCGAUCCAGGAAAUAUGAUGGGUAGGAGAGCGUUGUAUGGGCAAUGAAGCAGCAACGAGAGUUAGUUGUGGAGACCAUACAAGUGAGAAUGUUGGCAUGAGUAGCGAAGGAAGAGUGAGAAUCUCUUCCGCCGAAUGUCCAAGGGUUCCUGGGGAAGGUUCGUCCGCCCAGGGUUAGUCGGGACCUAAGACGAGGUCGAGAGACGUAGCCGAUGGAUAACAGAUUGAUAUUUCUGUACCACUAUAUAAGCGCCAAAAUCGAAUAUAUGUCGCUAAGGAAAGCCUUCGGGCCUACCGACCCACAUAUUAUUAGAUUAGCAAUGGAGUGACGGAGAAGGAUAAAUGAGCCCAGGCGAUGGUUGACCUGGGGUAAAUGCGUAGGGUGAUCGACAGGUAAAUCCGUUGAUCAUGAAACCUGAGACAUGAUGCCGAGCCGCUUUUAGGCGAAGUCAUUGAUUCCAUACUUCCAAGAAAACCUUCUAGUUAGUUUAUAUAGUGCCCGUACCCCAAACCGACACAGGUGGACAAGUAGAGAAUACUAAGGCGAGCGAGAGAACUCUGGUUAAGGAACUCGGCAAAAUAGUUCCGUAACUUCGGAAGAAGGAACGCCCCAGUAAAGUGAGUGAUUAACUUCAUUAGCUUGAACGGGCCGCAGUGAUCAGACUCAAGCGACUGUUUAUCAAAAACACAGGAGGGUGCAAAGUUCGAAUACAACGUAUACCCUCUGACACCUGCCCGGUGCUGGAAGGUUAAGUGGAUAGGUUAGCUUCGGCGAAGCUUUGAAAUUAAGCCCCAGUAAACGGCGGCCGUAACUAUAACGGUCCUAAGGUAGCGAAAUUCCUUGUCGGGUAAGUUCCGACCUGCACGAAUGGUGUAACGAUUUGAGUACUGUCUCAACCAGAGACUCGGCGAAAUUGCAAUGUGAGUAAAGAUGCUCACUAUGCGCGACAGGACGGAAAGACCCCGGAACCUUUACUGCAACUUGAUAUUGAAUGUUUGUAUGCAUUAUGCAGGAUAAGUGGGAGACUAUGAAAUAAUGGCGCUAGCUGUUAUUGAGUCGACCUUGAGAUACCACUUAAUCCAUAUUGACCUUCUAACCUAGAUCCGUUAUCCGGAUCAGGGACAUUGUCUGGUGGGCAGUUUCACUGGGGCGGUGGCCUCCUAAAAAGUAACGGAGGCGCUCUAAGGUCACCUCAGCGUGGACGGCAAUCACGCAUCGAGUGUAAGUGCAAAAGGUGGCUUGACUGUGACACAAACAAGUGGAGCAGGUACGAAAGUAGGAACUAGUGAUCCCAUGGUUGCAUGUGGGUGCGCCAUGGCUCAUCGGCUAAAAGGUACUCCGGGGAUAACAGGCUUAUACCCCCCAAGAGUCCAUAUCGACGGGGGUGUUUGGCACCUCGAUGUCGGCUCUUCUCAUCCUGGGGCUGGAGCAGGUCCCAAGGGUUAGGCUGUUCGCCUAUUAAAGAGGAACGCGAGCUGGGUUCAGAACGUCGUGAGACAGUUCGGUCCCUAUCCGUCGCGCACGUAAGAAAUUUGAAGAAAGUUGUCCCUAGUACGAGAGGACCGGGAUGAACGAUCCGCUGGUGUGCCAGUUGUUCUGCCAAGAGCACCGCUGGUUAGCUACGAUCGGACGGGAUAAGCGCUGAAAGCAUCUAAGUGCGAAGCCCCUUCUAAGAUAAGAUUUCUCAUCGGGUUAACCGAUUAAGACUCCUUAUAGAACAUGAGGUUGAUAGGUCAGAAGUGUAAUUACAGUAAUGUAUGUAGCUGACUGAUACUAAUAAGUCGAGGGCUUGAACUG